UGAGGAAUAUUGGUCAAUGGGCGGGAGCCUGAACCAGCCAAGCCGCGUGAGGGAAGAAGGCCCUAUGGGUCGUAAACCUCUUUUGUCAGGGAACAAAAGCGAGUAUGUAUACUAGUCUGAGUGUACCUGAAGAAAAAGCAUCGGCUAACUCCGUGCCAGCAGCCGCGGUAAUACGGAGGAUGCGAGCGUUAUCCGGAUUUAUUGGGUUUAAAGGGUGCGUAGGCGGCGAUGCAAGUCAGCGGUAAAAGCCCGGGGCUCAACCCCGGCGAGCCGUUGAAACUGCAGUGCUAGAGAAGGCGAGAGGUACGCGGAAUGCGCAGUGUAGCGGUGAAAUGCUUAGAUAUUGCGCAGAACUCCGAUUGCGAAGGCAGCGUACUGGCGCCUGACUGACGCUGAGGCACGAAAGCGUAGGGAUCGAACAGGAUUAGAUACCC
rnacentral:rRNA from 1 species